rnacentral:rRNA from 1 species
UACAGAGGUCCCAAGCGUUGUUCGGAUUUAUUGGGCGUAAAGGGCGCGUAGGCGAUUUGAAAAGUCUUGUGUGAAAGCCCCGAGCUUAACUCGGGAAGUGCACAAGAAACUGUUGAAUUUGAGUUCCGGAGAGGAAGGCAGAAUUCCCGGUGUAGCGGUGAAAUGCGUAGAUAUCGGGAGGAAUACCAGUGGCGAAGGCGGCCUUCUGGACGGAUACUGACGCUGAGGCGCGAAAGCCAGGGGAGCAAACGGG